AUAAGGUUGCAUCAGAACCGAUGCGCAAAAGAGAAUCCGGUGCGAAUCCGGAACGAUACCGUCACUGUGAAGGGGAGUGGCUUUUGAGAACCACUGGGAGACCGGGAAGGAAAGGCUACGCUGAACCAAGUCAGGAGAACUGCCUUAUUGU
rnacentral:ncRNA from 1 species